rnacentral:lncRNA from 1 species
CGAGCCGAACACGAGCUGUCUCGUUAGAGUAUCGAGCCGAAAAAUUUAACUCGUGUUCGGCUAGUUAAUAAACGAGCCGAACAUGAGCUGACUCACAAGCUGACCAACGAACAAUAAGUUAAAAGGAUUAGAUUAAAUAUAUAUAAAAAAUAAAUUUAUAAAAUCUUAUCCAUUAGACUUUGAUCUAAUAGUUGAAACUUUACAUAUAAAUGAGUCUUUUUAUAAUUAAGCUCGCAUUUAUAUUUUUAUUUUGCUAAAAAUUAAAUAAUAAAAAUAUAUAUUAUAUAUAAUUAUUUAUUUAUAUAUAAAAAUAUAAAUUAAAUAAAUUAUAUAAAUAUAAAAUAUAUGUAUUCUAGCUGUUAUAAAGCCGAACACGAGCGAGCUAACCCCAGCUUGUGUUCGGCUCGUUUAAUAAACGAGCCGAAAAAUUCAGCUCAUGCUCGACUCGUUUACUAAACGAGCGAUUCGAUAUUGAACUCAUUUCGAGCCGAACACGAGCUGACUCACGAACAGCGAGCUGGAUUGCCACCCCUACAUAGAAGAUACAAGUAUCAAAAUUAUAUAAAUGCGCGCGAAUGAGUUAGUUUUAUAUUAAAAAAAUAUUAUCGGUAACUAAUUUUUUAAAUUUGUUAUUUGAUUUUUUAAAAUUAAAAAAAAUUUCUAUGAAAGAACAGUAUAAUUAUUCAUCAUAUACGAUGCGUAAAUUCU